rnacentral:rRNA from 1 species
AUGUCGUACAACCCGUUGGAUGUGGUGUGUUGGAAUGUGAGGGGCUUAAAUAGCCAGGUUAGGAAGAAGGCGUUGAGGGAGUUUGUUGGCUCCUUGCGUGUGGCUAUCGUUUGUAUUGUGGAAUCUAAACUAGAGUAUGUUGACCAGUACAUCAUCGUGCAAUGCCUAGGGCCAUCCUACGAUGGUUUUGCUUACCUCCCGGCUACCGAGACUAGAGGAGGGAUCGUGAUGUGUUGG